rnacentral:rRNA from 1 species
CCUACGGGGUGCUGCAGUGGGGAAUAUUGGACAAUGGGCGAAAGCCUGAUCCAGCCAUGCCGCGUGUGUGAAGAAGGCCUUCGGGUUGUAAAGCACUUUCAGUGGGGAAGAAAGCCUUGGGGCUAAUACCCUCGAGGAAGGACAUCACCCACAGAAGAAGCACCGGCUAACUCCGUGCCAGCAGCCGCGGUAAUAUGGAGGGUGCGAGCGUUAAUCGGAAUUACUGGGCGUAAAGCGCGCGUAGGCGGUCUGAUAAGCCGGUUGUGAAAGCCCCGGGCUCAACCUGGGAACGGCAUCCGGAACUGUCAGGCUAGAGUGCAGGAGAGGAAGGUAGAAUUCCCGGUGUAGCGGUGAAAUGCGUAGAGAUCGGGAGGAAUACCAGUGGCGAAGGCGGCCUUCUGGACUGACACUGACGCUGAGGUGCGAAAGCGUGGGUAGCAAACAGGAUUAGAUACCCGAGUAGUC